rnacentral:rRNA from 1 species
GUCUACGGCCAUACCACGUUGAAAGCACCAGUUAAGCAACGUCGGGCUCGGUCAGUACUUGGAUGGGUGACAGCCUGGGAACACCGAGUACUGUAGACA